GACAGAAACAUAUCUGUUUUCUUGAAGGACCAGGGGAGGGCCAAGGGGCCAGCGGUGUGGGGUGGAGCAGCGAGGCCGGUGACCCAGGCGGCGGACGCCUCACGGGGUGGAGGAGAGACUGGCGACAAGGAAGGAGCAGAAUCCUCAUGGAGCGGCAGGGAAGGUGAAGUCCCGACGGCUGAAGAUGGUGCGCACGGAGGAGCUCGGAUGAUGUCAAGGACGUUUAGCAGGACUGACUUAAGAUCGAACCCCUGACAGAGUUUAAGCAUGGUCCCGUAUGCACUUCUUGACUUCUCUUGAUUCCCGUUUUUGUUUCAGUUCAUAUCAAAUCAAUAUUGUUUGCAACUUUGCAUACAGGUUGGAGAGGUUAUUUUUGGCGUGGAGGUCUUUUUCAGUUUUUCUAAAGUUACUAUUUUUUUUUCAGUUCCCUAAGCUCUUUCGUCAUGUUAAGUAAAGUCUUACCUACCACAAAAUUGUAUCAUUCAUCCCACACAAUGGUUGGAAUCCUAGUCGUUCAAUUACAGUAGACCAACCAUGUUUCACGUUUUGUAUAGUCCAACCAAUAAUACAGAUUCAGCCUGGUGAUGAUUUUCAAUAUAUUGUGAUAGUAGUUUCCUGCAUUGAUUAGUUAUUGAGCCAUCCUUCCGUUGUACUCGAAGUGUUGUAAUAGUUAAAUAGAUGCAUUUGUGCCAUUUAGCUCAUUGUAAUGUAGGAGCUGAUCAGGGUGGAAGAGUAAUCUGUGUUGUGUAGACAACAUCACUGUAAUUUUCUCAGGCGAAUAAAAGAAUAGCUUGCGGUUCAUGGAAAAGCCCCAAUAAAAUUCAGUUCAGUUCAGCUGUACAUCUUUUGCUGACCCCUUUUCUUGGUGCUGAUUGAGCUUUGUGUGUCAAUAUUUUUAUUUGACUGCAUUUUUUGCUUUAGUCCUUCCUCUUAGUGUAUAAUGAUCCUGAUUGUGUGAGUUUCUUUCCUGGCAGGGUAGUUAUGCCUCAAUCCAUUCCAUAACAAAAUGCAUAUAUGUCCUGAAGGAGCAUGAAUGGUCCACAUCUCAGCUGGCUGUUGUUUCUGUAAGAAAUUACUUUCUUCAUUACGCAUUGCUCGUGAUUAUUCUGUCUUGAAUAAACAUAUGGUGUGGCACUUUUCGUAUAAUGAUUUUAUAUCUUUCUGGUCCCAAAUCAUGCCGUUGACUUACUUUCGUUUUAUUUUAUUACUUUUGAUCAUUUUGGCUCUGAAAAGCAAUAGUACAGUAUAUCCAUGGAGUAUAAUAGAGUUGUUUGUUUGUUUGUUCUAUCAAGCCAGUUUUAUUCUAUUUGCAUGAGCAUAUACCAAACUUUUUUCAUGCUCGCUCAUGAACAAGAUGAGGGCACUGGUUAUGUAUUUCCAAACAAGGUUUUGAUUGAGAUAGGUAUUACUGAUUUCUUUGGAUUGCUAUGCUCCAAAACUUGAUGUAUUGUCUAGGCUAACUCUCUUUUUUUAAUUCAAAAACAAAGAAGAUUCCUACAACUACUGCAGAUUUGCAAAGAAUCGUGAAAUCAGAAUAUCCAUGUAUCAAAAGCAAAAAAGAUGCCUACAACUACUAUACAGGAAUGAUGUUCUAUAUUGCUGCCACACGAGAAUAUAUAUCGUAGUGCUCUCAAUAUAAAUUAAAAUGUUACUAGGGUUCUUGGUUAAUGCAUUGUUUUUUUCCUUUCCCAUCCAGAAUGAUAUUUGAUUGAAGAUAUGGAAUUAGUAUGAGAUCACUUUAGGGGGUUUAAACACUUGGAUAAGAUUAAACACAUGUUGUACCAAAUGAUAAUGGUACACCAUUUGGCGAUGGGUUCUCUAAAAAACUUAAAAUUCCACUAGAUAUUAUUUAGAUAUAAUGGAAAAGGGAUCAGAAAUGCGGUUUGUAUGACUGAAAACAUCCUUAACAUAUGGUUGUUCAUUAUACUCUGUGGUAGUGAGAUCGGUUAGUAAUGUUACACAUAAUAUAUAUUUUCCAGUUGUGUCCCUCACUCUCUUAAGCACGUUUCUGUUGUAUACUGGUUAGUUGUCACAAUGCAUGUAUUUGAGGAUGUCGUCGGGUCUCCAUUGUUGUACAUUUGUCUUGCCACUUUGUUGUUCAAAUUAUUUUUUAGGAAACUAUUUCAACUCUUCUGAAGGCCAUUUGUUCUUAAUGUUUUUCUUUAUAAGUAUCUCCAUAAUGGCACUUUCCACCUGGAAAAAGCAUCAAGGUCAGCGAUCCAGUUUUUGUUCUAUAGGCAUCUCUUCUUUGAAUGAGGCAUGGUAGCAGAUGAUGUAUCUGUUUUAUGUGUGUUAGAAGAGGCAUCCGGUUGCUUGACUUUGUACGCACAUUCUGAUUCUUUAAUCUUAGUUGUACAACCUAUAACUAUCCAAUUUAUUCUUUGUAUACCAACUCAAAGCUGUGAAUUGAUGACCACACCUGCUAAGACAAUCUUGAAAUAUUUUUUUGGGUCUCAAUUUCUGUACCGAACUUUAGGGAAUCGCCUACUGCUCAAAGACUUGCCUAGGCUAUGUAUGUCAAACAUAAUGAUGCUCUAAAUCAUCCUGACAGGAAAAAAAAUCUCAAGUUAUUGCUAUAACCUAAUUUUAUCAACAAAGACUUAAUUUUUUAAAACACACCAUGUUUGUUGCAAUGGAUCAAGAGGUACACAUGCCCUGAAAUAUGAAGUUAUUAACAAAUGCAAUUUUUUUGAAAGCACGCUCAUGGUUUAAAUGGGCAUCUGUGCCAUUUGGUGCAACGGGUCAUCUUUUUUCCGAAAACACACACACACACACACACACACACACACACACAUACACAAUAAUUUGAUGCAAGCAAUACCUCGAAAAAAUAUAAAGGCCUUCUUAACUGGUAUGCAUAUUUUUUUGUAUACAUGGGAUCUAAAUUCUUAAUGUGUGUGGUUGCUCAAACGGAAGAUUACUGAAAAUACACAUAUUUUCAGUGCAACAUGGUUUUCAUUGAAAUUUUAUGCUGCCAAAUUUAAAUGUAUGUGUACAUCUUAUUAUACACAGCAAGAAACCAAUCUUCUUUUUUAUUAAAGGGUGAUAAAUUUGUUAACGUAUGUGCUUGCCCACAACUAAGCCAACUAAACCAUGGAUUUUAUUUUCAAUCCGGACAUGGAUUCAGCGGGUCUCUGCGCCAUUUGGAAUGGCGCAACGAGUCCACUAGUUAAACAUAAACCUAAACUAUUUAAUCUUAAUAACCUAAACUAAUUAAACUAAAUAACCUAAACUAACUAAACUGAAAAGACUUGAACUAAAAAACCUAAACUAAACAAAAAAGAAAAAAAAAAGAA